rnacentral:rRNA from 1 species
GACGAACGCUGGCGGCGUGCUUAACACAUGCAAGUCGAACGGAAAGGCCCUGCUUUUGUGGGGUGCUCGAGUGGCGAACGGGUGAGUAACACGUGAGUAACCUGCCCUUUACUUUGGGAUAACUUCAGGAAACUGGGGCUAAUACCGGAUAGGAGCUCCUGCUGCAUGGUGGGGGUUGGAAAGUUUCGGCGGUUGGGGAUGGACUCGCGGCUUAUCAGCUUGUUGGUGGGGUAGUUGCUUACCAAGGCUUUGACGGGUAGCCGGCCUGAGAGGGUGACCGGCCACAUUGGGACUGAGAGACGGCCCAGACUCCUACGGGGGGCAGAAGUGGGGAAUAUUGCACAAUGGGCGGAAGCCUGAUGCAGCAGCGCCGCGUGCGGGAUGACGGCCUUCGGGUUGUAAACCGCUUUCGCCUGUGACGAAGCGUGAGUGACGGUAAUGGGUAAAGAAGCACCGGCUAACUACGUG